rnacentral:rRNA from 1 species
GAUCCUGGCUCAGGAUGAACGCUAGCUACAGGCUUAACACAUGCAAGUCGAGGGGCAGCAUUGGAGUAGCAAUACUACAGAUGGCGACCGGCGCACGGGUGAGUAACACGUAUCCAACCUGCCGCUUACUCGGGGAUAGCCUUUACGAAAGAAAGAUUAAUACCCGAUGGUAUAAAGAGUUCGCAUGUUCUCUUUAUUAAAGAAUUUCGGUAAGCGAUGGGGAUGCGUUCCAUUAGAUUGUUGGCGGGGUAACGGCCCACCAAGUCUACGAUGGAUAGGGGUUCUGAGAGGAAGGUCCCCCCACAUUGGAACUGAGACACGGUCCAAACUCCUACGGGAGGCAGCAGUGAGGAAUAUUGGUCAAUGGACGCGAGUCUGAACCAGCCAAGUAGCGUGAAGGAUGACUGCCCUAUGGGUUGUAAGCUUCUUUUAUAAGGGAAUAAAGUGAGGGACGUGUCCCUUUUUGUAUGUACCUUAUGAAUAAGGAUCGGCUAACUCCGUGCCAGCAGCUGC